ensembl:lncRNA
AUUUCACUUCAGGGUUAUAGUUCACGACCCCAUGGGGUCACGCAAAAGGUUUCAGAACAUUCUGAUUUGGAGUUUCAAAAUAAAAGCCCACCAAAUAUGAGACAUAUUUCAUAUGAUUUUGGAUUCGAUUUAAAAGAAAAUGCCCUGUUAUUCCAGGCUCAUUUCACUUCAGGGUUAUAGUUCACGACCCCAUGGGGUCACGCAAAAGGUUUCAGAACAUUCUGAUUUGGAGUUUCAAAAUAAAAGCCCACCAAAUAUGAGACAUAUUUCAUAUGAUUUUGGAUUCGAUUUAAAAGAAAAUGCCCUGUUAUUCCAGGCUCAUUUCAC